rnacentral:rRNA from 1 species
GGGUUGUGAGGUUAAGCGACUAAGCGUACACGGUGGAUGCCCUGGCAGUCAGAGGCGAUGAAGGACGUGCUAAUCUGCGAAAAGCGUCGGUAAGGUGAUAUGAACCGUUACAGCCGGCGAUGUCCGAAUGGGGAAACCCAGUGCAAUUCGUUGCACUAUCGUUAACUGAAUACAUAGGUUAACGAGGCGAACCGGGGGAACUGAAACAUCUAAGUACCCCGAGGAAAAGAAAUCAACCGAGAUUCCCCCAGUAGCGGCGAGCGAACGGGGAGCAGCCCAGAGUCUGAAUCAGCUUGUGUGUUAGUGGAACGGUCUGGAAAGUCCGACGGUACAGGGUGAUAGUCCCGUACACCAAAAUGCACAGGCUGUGAACUCGAAGAGUAGGGCGGGACACGUGGUAUCCUGUCUGAAUAUGGGGGGACCAUCCUCCAAGGCUAAAUACUCCUGACUGACCGAUAGUGAACCAGUACCGUGAGGGAAAGGCGAAAAGAACCCCGGCGAGGGGAGUGAAAAAGAACCUGAAACCGUGUACGUACAAGCAGUGGGAGCACCUUCGGGUGUGACUGCGUACCUUUUGUAUAAUGGGUCAGCGACUUAUAUUCUGUAGCAAGGUUAACCGUAUAGGGGAGCCGCAGGGAAACCGAGUCUUAACUGGGCGUUAAGUUGCAGGGUAUAGACCCGAAACCCGGUGAUCUAGCCAUGGGCAGGUUGAAGGUUGGGUAACACUAACUGGAGGACCGAACCGACUAAUGUUGAAAAAUUAGCGGAUGACUUGUGGCUGGGGGUGAAAGGCCAAUCAAACCGGGAGAUAGCUGGUUCUCCCCGAAAGCUAUUUAGGUAGCGCCUCGUGAAUUCAUCUUCGGGGGUAGAGCACUGUUUCGGCUAGGGGGUCAUCCCGACUUACCAACCCGAUGCAAACUACGAAUACCGAAGAAUGUUAUCACGGGAGACACACGGCGGGUGCUAACGUCCGUCGUGAAGAGGGAAACAACCCAGACCGCCAGCUAAGGUCCCAAAGUCAUGGUUAAGUGGGAAACGAUGUGGGAAGGCACAGACAGCCAGGAUGUUGGCUUAGAAGCAGCCAUCAUUUAAAGAAAGCGUAAUAGCUCACUGGUCGAGUCGGCCUGCGCGGAAGAUGUAACGGGGCUAAACCAUGCACCGAAGCUGCGGCAGCGACACUAUGUGUUGUUGGGUAGGGGAGCGUUCUGUAAGCCUGCGAAGGUGUGCUGUGAGGCAUGCUGGAGGUAUCAGAAGUGCGAAUGCUGACAUAAGUAACGAUAAAGCGGGUGAAAAGCCCGCUCGCCGGAAGACCAAGGGUUCCUGUCCAACGUUAAUCGGGGCAGGGUGAGUCGACCCCUAAGGCGAGGCCGAAAGGCGUAGUCGAUGGGAAACAGGUUAAUAUUCCUGUACUUGGUGUUACUGCGAAGGGGGGACGGAGAAGGCUAUGUUAGCCGGGCGACGGUUGUCCCGGUUUAAGCAUGUAGGCUGGUUGUCCAGGCAAAUCCGGAUAAUCAAGGCUGAGGUGUGAUGACGAGGCACUACGGUGCUGAAGUAACAAAUGCCCUGCUUCCAGGAAAAGCCUCUAAGCAUCAGGUAACAUCAAAUCGUACCCCAAACCGACACAGGUGGUCAGGUAGAGAAUACCAAGGCGCUUGAGAGAACUCGGGUGAAGGAACUAGGCAAAAUGGUGCCGUAACUUCGGGAGAAGGCACGCUGGUGUGUAGGUGAAGUCCCUGCGGAUGGAGCUGAGACCAGUCGAAGAUACCAGCUGGCUGCAACUGUUUAUUAAAAACACAGCACUGUGCAAACACGAAAGUGGACGUAUACGGUGUGACGCCUGCCCGGUGCCGGAAGGUUAAUUGAUGGGGUUAUCCGUAAGGAGAAGCUCUUGAUCGAAGCCCCGGUAAACGGCGGCCGUAACUAUAACGGUCCUAAGGUAGCGAAAUUCCUUGUCGGGUAAGUUCCGACCUGCACGAAUGGCGUAAUGAUGGCCAGGCUGUCUCCACCCGAGACUCAGUGAAAUUGAACUCGCUGUGAAGAUGCAGUGUACCCGCGGCAAGACGGAAAGACCCCGUGAACCUUUACUAUAGCUUGACACUGAACAUUGAGCCUUGAUGUGUAGGAUAGGUGGGAGGCUUUGAAGCGUGGACGCCAGUCUGCGUGGAGCCAACCUUGAAAUACCACCCUUUAAUGUUUGAUGUUCUAACGUUGGCCCCUGACCGGGGUUGCGGACAGUGUCUGGUGGGUAGUUUGACUGGGGCGGUCUCCUCCCAAAGCGUAACGGAGGAGCACGAAGGUUAGCUAAUCCUGGUCGGACAUCAGGAGGUUAGUGCAAUGGCAUAAGCUAGCUUGACUGCGAGCGUGACGGCGCGAGCAGGUGCGAAAGCAGGUCAUAGUGAUCCGGUGGUUCUGAAUGGAAGGGCCAUCGCUCAACGGAUAAAAGGUACUCCGGGGAUAACAGGCUGAUACCGCCCAAGAGUUCAUAUCGACGGCGGUGUUUGGCACCUCGAUGUCGGCUCAUCACAUCCUGGGGCUGAAGUAGGUCCCAAGGGUAUGGCUGUUCGCCAUUUAAAGUGGUACGCGAGCUGGGUUUAGAACGUCGUGAGACAGUUCGGUCCCUAUCUGCCGUGGGCGCUGGAGAAUUGAGGGGGGCUGCUCCUAGUACGAGAGGACCGGAGUGGACGCAUCACUGGUGUUCGGGUUGUCAUGCCAAUGGCACUGCCCGGUAGCUAAAUGCGGAAGAGAUAAGUGCUGAAAGCAUCUAAGCACGAAACUUGCCCCGAGAUGAGUUCUCCCUGAGACUUUAAGUCUCCUGAAGGAACGUUGAAGACGACGACGUUGAUAGGCCGGGUGUGUAAGCGCAGCGAUGCGUUGAGCUAACCGGUACUAAUGAACCGUGAGGCUUAACCUUACAACGCCGAAG